CCUACGGGCGGCUGCAGUGAGGAAUAUUGGUCAAUGGGCGUAAGCCUGAACCAGCCAAGUCGCGUGAGGGAUGAAGGUUCUAUGGAUCGUAAACCUCUUUUAUAAGGGAAUAAAGUGUGGGACGUGUCCUAUUUUGUAUGUACCUUAUGAAUAAGGAUCGGCUAACUCCGUGCCAGCAGCCGCGGUAAUACGGAGGAUCCGAGCGUUAUCCGGAUUUAUUUGGUUUAAAGGGUUCGUAGGCGGCCUUUUAAGUCAGCGGUGAAAGUCUGUGGCUCAACCAGUGAAUUGCCGGUGAAACUGGGGGGCUUGAGUAUGGUUGAGGCAGGCGGAAUGCGUGGUGUAGCGGUGAAAUGCUUAGAUAUCACGCAGAACCCCGAUUGCGAAGGCAGCCUGCCAAGCCAUGACUGACGCUGAUGCACGAAAGCGUGGGGAUCAAACAGGAUUAGAUACCCCUGUAGUC
rnacentral:rRNA from 1 species